UGGGGAAUCUUGCACAAUGGGCGAAAGCCUGAUGCAGCGACGCCGCGUGCGGGAUGAAGGCCUUCGGGGUGUAAACCGCUUUCAGCAGGGACGAGGCAGCAAGGUGACGGUACCUGCAGAAGAAGCCCCGGCUAACUACGUGCCAGCAGCCGCGGUAAUACGUAGGGGGCAAGCGUUAUCCGGAUUCAUUGGGCGUAAAGCGCGCGUAGGCGGUUUGUUAGGUCAGGAGUUAAAUCUGGGGGCUCAACCCCUAUCCGCUCCUGAUACCGGCAGGCUUGAGUCUGGUAGGGGAAGGCGGAAUUCCAAGUGUAGCGGUGAAAUGCGCAGAUAUUUGGAAGAACACCGGUGGCGAAGGCGGCCUUCUGGGCCAAGACUAACGCUGAGGCGCGAAAGCGAGGGGAGCGAACAGG
rnacentral:rRNA from 1 species